GGGGCUUUGGCGCAAUUGGUAGCGCGUACGACUCCAGAUCGUAAGGUUGGGAGUUCAAUUCUCUCAGGCCUCA